rnacentral:rRNA from 1 species
UAAUACGUAGGGUGCGAGCGUUGUCCGGAAUUAUUGGGCGUAAAGGGCUCGUAGGCGGUUUGUCGCGUCGGGAGUGAAAACCCAUGGGCUUAACUCAUGGCUUGCUUCCGAUACGGGCAGACUAGAGGCAUGCAGGGGAGAACGGAAUUCCUGGUGUAGCGGUGAAAUGCGCAGAUAUCAGGAGGAACACCGGUGGCGAAGGCGGUUCUCUGGGCAUGUCCUGACGCUGAGGAGCGAAAGUGUGGGGAGCGAACAGGAUUAGAUACCCUGGUAGUCCACACCGUAAACGUUGGGCGCUAGGUGUGGGAUCCAUUCCACGGGUUCCGUGCCGCAGCUAACGCAUUAAGCGCCCCGCCUGGGGAGUACGGCCGCAAGGCUAAAACUCAAAGGAAUUGACGGGGGCCCGCACAAGCGGCGGAGCAUGCGGAUUAAUUCGAUGCAACGCGAAGAACCUUACCUGGGUUUGACAUAUGCCGGAAAGCUCUAGAGAUAGAG